rnacentral:lncRNA from 1 species
UUUUGUUGAGCUGUUUGAUUGUUGGUGUGUUACGAGAAUUAUUUGAUCGUGAUGCGCCUUGUACAAGGAGUCCGAUAAGGAGUUCUAAGCUUCCUCAGAUCUUAUCCUCGAUGGAUGGGACUUCCACUCCUGCAAGCCAUAUAGGUGUUACUCCCACCUCUUACUCUGAUUUGAUGUUUUAACACUUGGGCCGGCAAUGAGCAUUAUCUAAUUCCUUACUCUGAGGUUGAUCUAUGGGUCAAUUUCGCAAAGACAGGUUCAUGGAACAAGAGCAAGGUCCGAGAUAAGCUCUCUCACUCGGGCAUACUUUAGGGCUUAGCUACAAGGUCUUUUGAAUCUUUGAUCUGUUUUACAAGUAAUAUUUCCUACAUUUUCAGCUUCAUAGUAGUGUACUGCUGAUUACAUGAACUUGGUGUAGUGAGAAUUAUUGCUCAUACAGUUCCUGAACCAGAUGAUUUUGAGAAGGUUAUAUGUCUUGCAAGUAUUCUCUGCUGAAUCUUCUACGCUCUAUUGUUGUGUACAUUUGAUAGUAGUAUAUCUUAUCAUAUUCGAUAUUAACAAAGCCGGUGGUUAUAUUUGCUUAUGUUUUCUGUCGCCGAAGCGUUACCAGUUGGUACUAAAAGUGCGUUUUUCCUUGUUUCAAGCAUAUUCCGUUAAAGGAAGAAAAGGCGAGAUGAACAGCAUGCAGAUAUAUCGCAGAGGUAAUUUAGUUCCUUUCCUUUUUAUGAUUUUAAGCUGUUAGCAGUAAAGAAUAAACCGAUUUUGCUUUGCAUGUCGGUUUAACAUUGGUUCAACCUCUUAUCUGUGUCUAUGUUAUGUUGCUCCAACUCUUAUAUCUUUCAUAAAGCAUUUAUGUAGGGACAUGGCAUGGGGAUAUGAUGUACAUUAAAAUCUUUAAAGAUGAUUUGAACAAACCGGUGUAAAAGGAAGAAAGGAUAGAGCAUAUUUUUGAAGAUGUGGUUGGGAAGGGAUAAGCACUACUACUUGCAUGAAUCGGCCAUUAUUGUUGAUAUAUACAAAUCACAGGGUUCUUUUUUAGAUAAAAAGAUUGUAAAAUCCAUGACAUUGAAUCUCGAUUAAGUUUGUUUAUCAAUUUUUAUAGUCAAGCUCAAACCCGAGCUCUAGUUCAACUCAAUAAUUAAGCUUAGGGUUAAUAAUAUAUAUCAAGGGCUAUAAUGUAAUUUAAUAAUAUGAAAAUAAUUUUACUCUUUUUCGUAUUUUCUUAUACAAUUAAUAUUUUAACAAUCUAAGUGUCAUAUUCAGUCGUUAAAUAAAUAUAUAUCAAUACAGAUAAUAUCUAUGCAUAAAAUUUUAUAUUAACAACGUUAUUAUGAAAAGCUCGAUAUGAAUCGCAAGCCGUUUGAGUUAAGUACUAUUAAUAUUGGAGUUAGUUCGAUCAAUAUCUCAAACUUGGUUCGAUAAUUACUUGCUUGAAUAGCUUAUGAACACGAGUGUCUCAUUUUUACCCUUGUAAUCUGAGAUUUCGAUCAAAAUUUAAAUUUUUGGACAAAUUUACUCUGUUUUUUCUAUUAUUUUUAAUCAAAUUUAUCUUUUUUCUUAAAUAAAAUUGAAAUCUAAUUAAAAACAAGGGAAUAAUUACAUUACAAUAAAGAAAGAUUUUACAAAUAUUAGGAUCAAACAUUGGAUCUCAUGCUAAUGAGCUUGAAACUCACAUUCAUUGAGUUUACCAUCUUAAACAUUAAAGAGUAGAUAUAAUAAAUAUAAUUUAUAAAUUAUGAACUAUUAUAAUUAUUGUAUAUAAAUUUGUUUUAAAAUUACACUAAAAUCAUACCUUCCACUCAAACUAUAUACUUCCCAUUUACCAUGCUAAAAUACUUUUAACUUUUGAUUUUUAGCAAAAGGUAUUUUUUAAUGAAAUUGCAUUUUUAUCUUUUAGUAUAUUUUCUACUUUAAAACAUAUAUCAUGUUUUAUUCUUUCAAAAACAUUUUUUAACAACAAUAAUAAUUUCAUUAAAAUUUUCAAAAAUACUUGUUAAAACAAUAAUAAAAAACUAUCAAAAUUUUAAAUUUACUUGUCAACCUAAAAAAAAAAAAAUCAUAUAUUCAAUAAAUCAAAACACCCCUAAAAUCAGAAAUCAAUAUUGACUUCUACCAGUAUGGAAGAUCAUUGUCCUACUCAAUACUAGUCCUGUAGAAGGGUAUGCUUCAGCAUCAUCAUCAUAAUUAUCUACUCUACUCUCUAAAUAAAAAUGCAAGAAUUUUGAUUAGUUUGGUUCACAAAAACUCUUGAAAGUAUAGCUUCAGCUAAACACUCCUCACCAUCAUCAUUGUUCCGACCUCAGACCUGAAGCCGUCAUUGCUAAUGCUAUCAAAUUAGCCAAGCUAGAUACUCUUACAACCGACUGUACAAUCUCCUGAUUUCCCGAUCCCAAUAUUCCCAAAUUACCAUUGCCGCCGCCGCUGCUUUCACCCUCCUCAUCCGGCAUCACAAACCGACAAACCGGGCAGGACCGAUUGAUGCGCAGCCACUUUUCAACACAAUCGGAAUGAAACACAUGCUUGCAUGGCAUCUCACUUCCUUCUUCUUCCUCUUUAAACUUUUCCAAACAAAUCGAACAAUCGUACCCUUCUUCCACUUUUUUCCUCGCAAUUGCUUCCAUGGCAGCCUUCAAAGCGAGGACACGCCCGCCCCGGUUUAUUAAAUAAACAAAAUCAAAAUUCAAAGAUUAAAGAUUAAAGAAAACAAUAUUACAGAAAGAAGAAAUUUUUAAUUAUGAAUAACCAAAAAAAAAAAAAUCAAGGAUUAUAUAUAGGAUACGGUGGAGGCGUUCCCCCAAAGUUGAAGCAGUUUAGGGCUAGAGUUAUGGUAUUAAGAUUUAGGCUAAUGUUCGGAAGUCCUCAAACUAUUACAUUAUGUUCAAACAAGCCCUUUUACUUCUUUGUAUUCAAAUGAACUUCUAAUUUAUAAUUUUCUUUGCCAUUAAAGCACUUAAUUACUUUUUUUAAAAAUUUUGAAGUGCUUGAUUUUAAUUAAAUGGUUUUUAAAUCUUUUUUCUUUUAUUUUUACACGUCAUACUUUUAUUAAUUACAAAUCCUUAAUCUCAAUCUUUUAUUAAGCCGAUUGAAUCUUUAACUCGAUUGAUAUGAAUAUUGUUGUCAACAUAAUAAGACGUGAGUUUGAGUGUGCUGAAGCGUAUUAUCCUACUAUUUAUGAGUUGGGGAGAGAUUAUGUGUAGUUCUAAAUAUUGUAUAAAAAAUUAAAUAUGAUUCGAAUCUAUGAUGAGAUUGUUACGAUAUUUGUCUUUUCUUUCUGCUGUUAUUUGGUUGGUUAUAGCCGCCAUUGCUAUUCUAUUAGAAUAUUGUAUUGCUUCUGUUAUUUUGUUUGUUCUUUUGACUGAUGUAAUUAGCUGGAUAUUAUAUAUAUAUAUAUAUAUAUAUAUUAUAUUAGUCAUGCUUUUGACUUUUGAGUAGGCAAUUUUCCCUAUUUUUUCUCUUCUCAAUGUUCUCUUAAAUUUUCUAUUCCUCGUCUAUAGAAUCUUUCUUCUCUAUUAUUUUCUUUUCUUUGUGAAACUUCACCCCUCAUCAGUGGUAUCAAAGCCUUGACUCUGGCAUCAUGCUGACAGACGAUAUUACCACCAGACUCCAGAAUCAAGUUUCCCAACAGCAGCAAGAUCUGUUGAAAACUUAAGCAAAAAUUCAAGCAUUAGAUAAGAAGAGGGAUGAGCGGUUCAAUGAACUCUGGUUAGAUCUUAAAGUCUUUUUUCGAGUUUAUAACAGAGAAAGAUACCCCAGACAAAUCUGCGGUGUUAUUUGGUUCUGCUAGCUCUGCAAAAGGAAAGGAGCCAUGGUGGCUCAGCAACCAAUUUUCAGGCAACCACAAUAUAUUGAGUUAGGGCUUCAACGAACCUUUAAGCGGGAAUGCCCAAAGUUUAACAGUGGCGACUUUAAAGGAUGGCUCAUGAAGUUAGAACAAUAAUUCAUCGUAGCAUCGGUGGUAGCUGAACAGAAAGUCUAGAGGGAAAAGCUUUACAGUGGCACCAAUAUUACACUCAAUACGAAGGAGGGUCUGAUAAGUUGGAAUGGGGUACUUACAAGGAAGACAUGAAGGCCAGAUUUGACCUACAAGAGUUUGAUGAUCCAAUGGCUGACUUUGUAAGUCUCGAGUACAAUAGUAGCGUAGACUAAUAUUACGAGGAGUUUUUGGGAUGACUAAAUUUGUAAUGAUUUAGUUUUUAGUGGUGUGGAAAAAUAUGGUUUCAAAAUUUUAUUUUUGUAAAUUGAAUCCGUAAAUAUAAAAUAAAAAUAUUUAUGAAGUUAAUAUAAAAUUAUAUUGAAGUUUGGUUAAGUAAUUUAGCCGAGAAAAUGAUUAAUUAAAACUUAAGGACUAAAUUCUAAUAGUCCAAUCACUAUUGAGUUUUAAUUAAGAAAAGACUUGAAGACCUAAGUAACAAUUAUUCAAAGGAUUAAAAUGGAUAAUAAACCGAUUUUAAAUAGACGAGGAGUGUGACGAUGAUUUGCACUUAGAAACGAUUUAAUUAAAAAAUUGAUUAUGAUUAAUUAAGAUUAAUUAGCAUAUAUAUUAAAGUUAGUGGAGAUGAAACAUCUUCUUCAUUUAGCUUAGCCGAGCCGUCCCACCCUAGAAAGAAAAAAAGAAAAAUCCUCCAUUUGUUUCAACAUUCGACCAUCAAAAUCCAUAAGGUACUUAAUCUAUUUUCUUAUAAUUUUUAUAGAUUUAUAAUCAUGGGGACUUGAUUUAGUUAGCCCAUGUAUCAAAUUGUUCAAUUGAUGAAUUUUUAGUAAGUCAUUAUUGUUGAGAAAUUGAUGAAUUAGACUUAAAUUUAAUAGAUAUUAACAUUAGAUCAUGACAAGGACUAAAUUGUAAAACCAAUUAAUCUUGUUAAUUAACUUUAUAACAUUAGGGACCAAAUUGAAUAAAUUGAAAAUCUUUCAUGAAAUUAUUCCAUGAAUAGGAAGUAUGGGGUCCCUAAUGAAAGAAUGUGGAAUUAAAUUUUAAUCUGAAUCUAGAUAUCGAAAAAUAUGUUUAUCUCGAGUAUAGGGACUAAAUUGAAUAACAUGAAAAAUAUGGUUGGCUUUGUAUUUGAAUGUGAAUUAGAUGAAAUUUGAUACUGUUUAUUUAUUGAACUAUUGUUCGUAACUAAAGAUGAUGCUGGGCGUCGAGAGGGAAAGGAAAAAUGAGAGUCGUCAACAAGUGACAAGAAUUCAGUUUGUACUUUUAUGAUUCGAGAUCAAUAUAUUUGUUUCCAUAUUCAUGUUAAUUGCAUGACUGAGUAUCAUGAUAAGUAUAUAAUGGUUGUAUAAAUUGAUUCAUCGUCUCAAAUCCUUCAAAAUGCAUUGCAAUCAUGAAUUUUCUUCGUUAUAGUUGGUAAGAUUGGGUAAUUGUAGAAAUUGAAACUCUUAAAAUAAUCUUUCGAUUAAUUUAAAAGAAUUUUGUAAAAAAAAUAAUUUUAUAAGAGAUUCAGUAUUAUUCCGUUUUAAAAUAAUUGAAUAAGCUAAUCAAUCGACCAUCACUAACCAACUAAUGAACUCUUUGAAUCACCUCAUUCCAAACUCUCGACAGAAAACGCCAAACAUAUUAACAACAUUGUAUUUGUUUCUCAUAACUUGAACCCAAAAUACUCCAACAUCACAUAAAAUUUAAAAAUCAAGUUUGAACAAAAAAAAACUUUAUUAAGCUUAUUCAAAUUGUGAAGACCCAAACCAUCAUUAGCAAGCCACCUACAACAAUGAUCUCAAUUAACAAGGGUCGAUUUACAAGAGUCAACAGUUGAGCCUUAAAUAAAUGCUUGAGUCAACUUCUCAAUUUUAUUGCAAAAAAAAAAAGGGAAUCAACGUUGAGUUCACGAAGUAAUUAGGGAUAGCUAAAAGCACCGAUUUAGCAAGAGUAAUUCUUCUCAACAUAGAGAGCCUCCUAGCAUCCCAUCCAUUUUGUUUAGCACAAACUUUAUUCAUCUUUCAACUUAAUAGUAGUCAUUUUCCAAGUCCAUAAGUUGAAUUGUUGAUUUCGAUUUUCAGAGUGUGUAGAAUUAAACCAUACCCUCCUUCCCAUUGGUUUGAUAAUCAUAGUAAGGCUCAUAGUUUUCUCAAUCAAUGAAUGCACUCUUUUUAAUAAGCAACUAAAUAGGAUACCAUCUAUAAUUUUCAUUAUUACAUCGCCAUCAUGUAGCUCCAUAUCAUCAUCUUCAUGAACCUCUUUCCUAAUAUUAUCUUCUUCUAAGAGCACAUCUUUAAACGAGACUCAUGACCUCCAUUAGAUGCACUCAUCGAAUCACCCGUGUCAAUCGUAUCAUCCCUUUUUCGUCACACCUUCUUGGUCACCCUACUGAUCCCCUCAUCAACCAUCUUCUUCUUGAGGAAAAUGACUUUGCUUAUGUUAUAGUAUUAAAUAUUAUUACAGAUUUAAAUUUUAAUAGAUAUAAAUAAAAUAAUGUAAAAUAAAAUAUCACAUGACUUGAAAACAGAUUGGACAGAACUCAAGUCGUAAGCUUUGGAGUCCAAAUUCAACUUAUAUUUUAAAUAGACCUAUUUUUUUGUCGAAACUUAUUUUCGAACCUUAUAUAUUUAUUCAAACCUCUCCGAUAUAAAUGAAGUUUUAGAUAUGCAUUAAUAACUAGACUCUUAAACAAUGCAAAACAAAUAUAAAUUUAAGAUAAAUAAAUAUAGAAAACAAUUAUAUUUACAUUUUAUGAAUGUAAAGUAGUUGUGGUAGGUUUACAAUUAUCACAAGUUUUAAAGAGAUAACCCCUUGUUGCUUUCAAAAUUUAGGUGAGUUAGAUUAUAUAAAAUAAAUAAGAAAUUAAUAUAAUUCAGAAUAAUUAUUAGUUCAUAAUCAAUGAUUUUAUAUUAUUAAAACCCCAAUAUUAUUUCUUUUAUUUUAAAAAAAUCAAUUUUGUUGGAGCACAUCUUAGUUCUUAAAAUUUAUAUAAAACUAUUCAAUAUCAACUAUAAUAAAAAAUUUAUAAUGAGAAUAAUGAAAACUAUAUUAUUCUCAACAUUUGGAUACAAAUGAAUAUUUCUAAGCAUUAAUUUUGUCAUAUUAUUCUUUAAAAUUAAAAAAAAAAACAGUUUAUUACCAUACUUGGAGUAAAUAACACUUUUUUUUUUUAAAAAUUUGGAAAUUUUUAUAUUUUCCAUUUGAAAAUUAUUUAAAAUGGACUAUUUAAUUUAUUUUAUUUUAAAUUUUUAAGAGUUUUUUUUUUCAAAAAAUUUUAUAUUUUUAUUGAAAAUAAAAAAGACCUUUUAAUUUUAAAAUAUUUUUUGUAAUUGUUUAUGUAGUGUAAAAAAUAAAGACUAAAUUGACAAAAAAUGUAAACAUUAAGGGUUAAAAAAGUUAUUUUUAUCUUUUUUUUAUAACAAUCACAUUAACAAUUCUAAAAAUAAAAUUGAUGGAGGAACCAAAAUUUUUGAAUAAAAAAUAUAAAAAUUAAAUGUCUCAAAAUUAAAAUAUAUAACUAAAAUUUAAAUUUUACACAAUUACAAAAACUUUUAGCAUAUUUAAAAUGAAAUUACAAAACUCUACUAUUAUAUUUAUUGAGUGUUUAGCAUUGCUGUCAAAAAGUACUUUUGAGAAAUAAAAUGUCCAUUUUAGACAUGUUAUUAUCAAGUAACAAAUAUGCAUUUAAAUAAUAUUUAAAUUAGUUAAUAUUAUUAUAUUUUAGUAAGAAUAUAAAAAAAAUUAUUAUAAUUUGUUGUUAAUAUUUUAAUAUAUGAAAUAUAAAUUUUAAAUAUUUUUAAGCAAUAAAUAUUAAUUAUUUAUAAAAUUUAAUUAGAAUAUAUAAACUAUAUUUUAAAUAUUUAAAUAUAAACAUUAAAUAUUUGUAAUUAGUAUUUUAAAAUUUUUUUAUUUUUAAUUAAUGAUUUUAACAUAUUCAUAAUUAAGCACCAAGAAAAAAAAAGUACAACGUUAUUGGAGGGAUAAAAAAGUAAUUAAGCACCAAAAGUACUUUUGAGAGAGAAAAAACUAAAAUUUUUAACUUCUCCUUAUUCUGCACAAUUUUAUUUUAAAAGUAUUUUUAGAGUCAAAAAUAUUUUUUUUAAACAAUGAAAAAUUAGCUUACCCUAUUUUCUAUAUCCAAAGUCCAUUCAUUUUUGUCUUGUAAUUUUAUUUUUUAAUAAUAUUAAAUGAUAUUUAUGAUGCUUAACAGAUUCUAAGAGGCACACUUUUUUGUACCGUACGUGGUAGAUUAGGUGCAUAGCCAUGGGCUGUCAGAGUUUAGCCCGAGAAAAAUUUUCUAUUUAGGUUGUUUUAAAAUUUAAUAAAAAUUUAAAUAGUAAAAGUAAAAUUAUACUUUAAUUGUCUUAAAAAUCAUAAAAAAAUUAAUUUAAUAUUUUAAAAAUUAUAAAUAUACAUAUUAAAACAAUAAAAUUACAUUUUUAUUAUCAUAAAAAUAUACAAUUUAAUUUUGACCCUUAAAUAUAUUUUUUGACUUCACCGGCAAACAAUAAUAAAGGAGCAAGCAUACAAAACAAGAGCCACUUUUUCAUUCCAUGAAUCUCUAGUUUUUCCCUUUCUUGAAGGCUCAAUAUACAUAUUCAAUAUAUGUUAGAUAUUCCUUUGUACUUUGUAUAAAUUGUGGAUAGUCCCUAUAUUUUAAUUUGGUUAAAUAUUUUUUGAAUUGGUCAAUUUUAGUAUUUAUAUUUUUUAUGUUUUAAAAUUUUAGUACUGAUCAAAUGGUAACAGUCAAAUUUGUUGAACUUUGCUAUUAGUUUUGUACAAUGCCUAAUGCUGUUGAUUUAAUUCAUGUUCUCUAAUUAGAUAAUUUAUUAGCCUUUAUAUUUUUUGAAAUUUGAAAUUUUAAUAUUAACGCACUUUAAAUUCAUAAUUAUUUUUUUGUGAGUAAUAUAUGAAAAUAAUAAGUUAUCAUGACAUUAUAUAUAUAUGGUAAUAUAUUUAUCACAGCAGAUUUAAAAAAAAAACUUUAAUUAAAUGAAUUUAACGAUUAUUAUUUGUUCAAGACUGAAAUUUUAAAAUUCAUAAAUUAUGAGAUUAAAAAUAUCUAAAUUAAAUAUUAAAAUUUACAAUUUACGCAUAAUUUUAACUUCAUAGAUAAGUUUUUACGAAUGCCAAACAUUUUGAUCAUUUCAUGAUUCACAAAAUUCGACAAAUUUUCAAAUAAUCGACAUAUUCAAUAUAUGAAAUGAGAGUAGAUGAACACUCAAAGAUUGUUGCACACACUAAACACAACAUCCAAACAUUUUUUUUACAGGAAAUUAAAUAUGAAAGUAGAGUUGUAUAAUUCUUUUUUAUAUUUUUAUUUAAAAGGUAAACUUGAAAAAAAAAAUAGGCGUUAGGUGAAUUAGAAUAAAUAAUAAAUCUAAGAAUUUAGAAACAAUCAUUUUAAGGGUAAAUCUGAAGAAAAUGUUGUUUUUAAAAAAUAAUUAGGGAUAUAGGUUGAUUUUUCCGAUAUUUAAAGAAAUAGAUCGAUUUUAGAGAGAGAAAUAGAAAACACGUCCUUUAAGAAGGGUUUUCUUUUGAUGUGUCUAAAACUGUAUUCUACAAAACAAAUUUUUUUCAAUAACUUCAUACAACAUUUCCUUUGAUUAGAUAGUUACGUGUUAAAGGUUUUAUCUUUAAAUCUUGGGUUCAAUUCCUCUCAUAAAUAUAUUUAUAAUUUUAUUUCAUGUUGUUUUAAAUUUUUUUAAUUUUAAUUAAUAAUUAAUAAAUAUAUUUUAUAUAUAUCAUUAUGUUAAAAAUAUUUUUAAUUAAUAACUCCUUUAUUUAUAAAUACAAUAACAAAUAAUUUUGAUUUUAUAAUAUUAGAAUUUACCAUGCCUUUAAUGUAGAUAAAAAACAAUGAUAUUUGAAAUAUUAUUCAUAUAAAAAUAAUAAUAUUUGAAAUAAUUAUUUGAUACCCACAAUACAAAUGAAGAAAAUAAAUAUUUAAUAUAAAGAAAAUCAUAUAUAAAGAAAAAAUAUAUAUCAAACAAAUUUGUUAAAAAUAAAAUGCAUCUAACACAAUGAUAAAUAUAAAAAUAUUAUGAAUAUCUUAUUAAGUGGAUGUCUAUCAAAAUCAAGAUAAGUUUUGAUGUACUUUAAAUUCUAAUAGUGAUUAGAAGUAGAUCUCUACUUCAUGUAUACUUCUUAUACCUAUAAAUAUAGACUUUUGAAAAGCAUUGUAAAUAUUUCAAUUGAUGAAUAAAAUAUGUUGUCUCUUUGCUCUCUCAUUCUCUUUUUUCUUUAUUCUCUAUCUUUUAUUUUAUAACACAUUAUGAGCACAAUUGUCUUUUAUUUUAUAAUACGGUUACUCCAAAUUUGCUGCUCAAGUUAUUGUCGAUUGCCUUCUAGAGCUAUUGCAAUUUCAGUAUUCAAUUGAGGCCUUCGCACUAUGGCUAAUCAUUAGAGCUUUUAACCACUUAGAUCUUUAGGUAUAUUUUACUAUGAUUUAUUUAUUAUAUCAUGUUUGUUAUAAUUGGAGACUAAUCAUGACAACAUGGAUAGAUAGAUUUUGAUUUGAAAUCCACGCAUGUUGGCAAUGGUGUUUAUGAAAUAAAGAAUCUAUUGGGACGAUUAUAAUUUUGUCUUAGUAAAUUUAUUGCAUUCCCUAAAAUGAGCCCAAUCAUAAAAGAAAAUAAAAACUGAUAUUAUUCCAAUAUUUGGUAGUACAAAAUUAGUUGAAAGUUCCAGAAGAGCUAAUAUAUCAAUAUCUAAAAAAGCACAAAAUUUGUGAUGGUUAAUGCAUUAGUUUUAAAAGAUAUUCAUUAUAAUGGAUAUCAUAUUGAGAUUAUGAAUGAUAAAAUAUUAUAUUUCAUAUGAAUUACUAUUGCUAUAAAUAUCUAUUUUGAAAGGAUGAAAAAAAAAGGAGGAUUAAGUUAUUGAUUUGAUUUAAAUAUUUUGGCAUAUUCCCUGAAUCGAAUAUUGCAUAUAAUUGUUUGAAAAUUAUAUUUAUUUUGUUGAUUUAGUGACAUUAUAGACUUUACGUUGAUUUAGACAUUUCUAAUAGUAAGUGUCACAAUAGUAUUUAUAUGUGGAUACAAAGUAAAAGGAAUGUCAGUAAGAUUAUUAAUUUGUCAUAAUUUAUAUUGACAUUACUAGUAAAUACAUGUUAAAGUAAACCAAAAGUUUACUAAUGCAAAUACAUUUACUACUUGGCGUGACUAGUUAAACCAUUUUGGAUCAUAUGUGAUGUGAAAAUUAAUUGAGAUUUCAUAUGAACAUUCAUUAAAAAACUAGAAGAUUCUUUAAUUUAAAGAAUUCUCAUUUGUUACUUGUUCUCAAUGAAAAUUGCCUAUUAGAAAUUCACUAGCUAAAGCUCAUUCAUUCACCAUGUGGAUGGUUUUGAUAUUUUAUGAUUUUGGUAGAUGCAUCUACAAAAUAAUCACGUAUGUUUUAUCAACUUGCAACCUAUCGUUUGCAAGAUUGUUUGUUUAAAUAAUUAAUUUCAGAUCAUGCAAUUAACACAAUUCAUCUUACUAAUACUGAUGAGUUUAUAUCUCAGUCUUUUAUUGAUUGAGUUUGAAAACCUUUUGUAAAAGUUUAUUAUUUAUGCGCAUAAUGAUUUAGAGAAAUUAUUGAUUGAACGCCUCCGAUUAAUAUCAAAAUCAUUACUUAAGAGAACUAAACUUCCUAUCUCAACAUGAGAUUAUGUUGAUUUACAUGUUAUAUGCAUCAAAUCAAUAAGUUAUAAAUACUCUCCAUUACAAUUGGUUUUUAGUUAAGAGCUAAAUAUUUCUCAUCUUUGAAUUUUUGUAUGUGCGUUUAUGUUCCAAUUGUUCCACAAUGCACAAAGAUGAGUGAAUCCUCAAAGAAAGUUGAGAAUAUAUAUUAAUUACAAGUCUCCUUGUAUUAUUAGAUGUUUUGAAUGUAUUGGAGACUCAAUUAUGACAUGAUUUGUGAUUACUAUUUUGAUUUGAUAAUUUUCCCGAUAUUAGGGGGAGAGAAAUAAUAGUUGAAUGAAAUCACUGCUUGUAAUGAGUUAUCAUUAUCUGGAUCCUUAUAGAUAGUAAUUUGAACCAGAAGUUUAAAAAUUGGAUAACUCACUUUAUUACAAUUUAACUAUCAAAUGUAUUCACAAACUUAAAGAGAAUAACCAAGUGUUAUAUACCAUCUAAUAUUUUGAAUCAAAGUCCCAGUAAGACAAUCAGUUAGAAUAAAUAAUAGAUUGAUCGGUUCCAAAGAUGAAAAUUCUUCUAAAUAGUUAUAUAGUGGAGGCGAGUGCUCCAGAAGAGACAUAAGACAUAAGUAAUAAGUAAAACUCUAGAAGAGAUUCAGGUACUUGAAAUUGAAGAUUAAAAUAAAGAAAAUAAGAGAUUUCAAUAAGUUAUGUUAAUUCAAGAAAAUGUUGAACUGAUAAUAAAAGUGAUCGACAAUGGUUUUGCUUGCAAUAUUAUUGUUGAAAUAAUGAAAUGAAAGGGGAAUCUUGAAUAAGUCUAUUGAGAAAUAUAGAUAUUGAAUAGAUUGUUCAAAAUAGAAAGACGUAACUCAAAUACAGUUAAAUUCGUGAAGUUUUUGGACCAGUAGUCCAAAUACCUAAAAGUAUAAAAUCAGUGAGGGUACAAAUAAAGUAGUUUUGCAAAAGUAGAAUAAAAAUAUAAAAUUUUUCGCUAAGCCUUGACAUUGGUUAUGAAAAGAUAAAAUAUUCUUUUGUGGUAGAUGCAAUAACCUUUAGAUAUAUUAUUAAAUUGGUAGUUCAUAAAAGAUUUAACUUGCUUAUAAUGGUUAUUGCAACCUUUUUAUGAAUCACUAUAUAGUAAAGUUUAUGUUAAAAUCCUUAAAGGAUUUAGAAAGCCAGAAACAUAUCGAAAUUAUCGGGAAAUUGUUCAUUUAUAUGAAUUGAAAUAAUUAGAACAUAUGUGGUAAAUUUGACAUAGUGAAUAAAAGUUGAAGGAGGAUUGACAUAGUGAAUAAAAAUUGAAGGAGGAUUAUGAAAUGAUCCAAAUACUUAUUUGUGUUUUUGUAGAAGAAUUAUAAUUAAAGUUUGCUAUGAUUAUUGGUAAAACUCCUUAAGAGAUCAAAAUAUAUUUCUCCCAAACUUUCACUCACUCAUGACUUUCAAAAGAAUUAUGAUAUAAAUGCUUAGCAAAUACAUUCAAAUAGUAAUUUGAAAAACUAGUAUUCAAGAUUGAAUACGUAGAAUAUGAGAAAAUGUGUGAUGUUUUCAUGAGAGGAGUAAAUACACGCUGUACUUUUUUCCCUUAACUGAGGUUUUGUUCCAUUAGGUUUUCUUGAUAAGGUUUUUAACGAGGCAACAUAUCAUGUGUAUUAUAGAUAUGUGUACUCUUUUUCCUUCACCAAGAAAUGUUUUCCCCACGGGGUUUUUAUUUUAGUAAGGUUUUAACGAGACACAUUAUCUACCAAUGGACAUCCAAAGGAAGUGUUAUGAAUAUCUUAUUAAGUAGAUGUCCAUCAAGAUCAAGAUAAGUUUUGAUGUACAUUAAACUUUAAUAGUGAUUAUAAGUAGAUCUCUACUUCAUUUAUACUUAUUAUACCUAUAAAUAGAGACUUUGGAUAAGCAUUGUAAAUAUUUCGAAUGAUCAAUAAAAUACAUUCUCUCUUUGCUCCCUUAUUCUAUUUGUUUGUUAUUCUUUGUCUUUUAUUUUACAACAAAAAAUAUAUAAUUUCAUUACAUAAUUAAAUAUUUAGUAAUUUAUUUAUAUAAAUAAAAGAGUUAUUAAUUAAAGAUAUGAAUUAAAAACUUGAAAAUAAUAUAUUUAUUAAUUAAAAUUAAAAAAAAAAGUUUAAAGUUGAUAUAUUUUUUUGGUGAAGGAGAGCAAAACUUUAACAAUAACAUGACUAGUGUGACUUGAACCUAAGCCACACAUAAGGAAAUAAACACCCUAACCAUCAGGUCAACCUACAAAGUUCAAAAAAGAUGAUAUUUUAAGUUAUUAAAGAAAACACAUUUUGCAUAAUAUGUUUUUAGGCACGUCAACCUUCAAAAUCAGCUUGUUUUCCUAAAUAUCGAAAAAAUCGACCUAUUUAUAUUAUCUUCCAAAAUCAACAUAUAUUACUAAUUUACCUAUCAUUUUAACCCAAGAGCAAAUAAUAUUUUAAUUAUCAUUAUUUCAAGUCCAAAAAAAUUAUCAUUAUUUCGUUAUAAAAGUUAUUAGUUAUUUAUUUUAUUUAAAAAAAGAUUUUUUUUUUGCUUUUUUGGACAUUACAUAUGAUGAAAGAAAUCUGGACGGACGAAAUCAAAGAGAGUAAGAUACAGCAUAUUCGCUGCGUCACAUAGUACUCUAAUACCCUGGUUUACCUGAACCGGAAGUAAGAUCCGGUUCAAUCCUCACCGUAAAACCAAAACUUUUGUUUUCCUCAGUAUUCUUUCUCUAAAAUCAAAAUCCAAAUGGAAAAGAAAGGCUUGACAAUAUUUUGAUUUCUGUAAAACGCAUAGAAGAGAGAGGACUUUAUCUUUAAAACCAUACCGGUAAAGAGAAAGUUUCGAUUUUUUUUUCAUUUCUUUCAAGCUCAACCAAAAUAUAUAAUAGGAAGCCUAACUUGCCGGAGCUCCGGAAACAGUUAAGAAUCCGAUGGACUCCUUGGGUCCGAAUCGGUUUGAUAUCUUCGAGAUUUAUCGGCGAUUCUGUGGUAUUUUUUUAUUUUUCACUUUUCUUUUUUGUUCUUGAGAUUUUACUUCUUUAUUCUUUGCUGUUCUUUAAUUAUAAAUUUUAAAUAUUUUGGGUUGGUGUACAAAAGAAAAGUGGUGAACUUUCGGGUAAAAAGAUUGGAAAUUAGAUCAGGGGGGUUUCAGUUUAGUAUUGUUGGGUAAUAAUUGUGCGGGAAGAGAGUUGAAAAUGUUUUUUCUUUUUAAUAGAAAAAUUCAAAUUUUGAUUUAAUUAUGGAAAAAGAUUGUGUAAUUUGGUACCCUAAAAAAAGUCAAUAGAAAAGUAGGCCAAAAUAUAAGUAAUGCAAAAUUUUCAUCAAUAUAAUGUGUGUUUAUUUAUAUAUAUAUAAUGCAAUUUGGUUUGUUUAAAGAAUUGGUUAAAAUGUUUAAAGUUCUGAUAUUUUCUUUUAUGAUUUGCAUUCAUUUUCAGAAUUUUCAACUGUUCAGAAAAUUGUCCUGAGAAUGGAAUGUUGUUCUGUUCGAAAGGGCUGAUGCAGUAAUUUAUUAACUUUUGAACUGUCUUGCAGAACUUAGAACAGGAUAUGAGCAUGUUUGUGAUGGAGAAGGCUACCGACAAGGCGAGGAAUCACAAAGAGCUAAGUUCACUAGGGACGCAUUGAACCAACUCUUAAAGAUGGUGGAAUCAAGGAUGCGUGAGAGGCAUAUGUAUGUAUUUACGCAUGAUUGUAUGUGUGUAUGCAUAUAUGUGUAUAUAUAUAUAUAUAAUCUGUAUUUAGAAGUUUACUGAGUUUGGCUUGCCAUUAGGAUGACCCGAGAAUCAGUUGAUGAAUCUUGAGACAUUUGGCAUGAAAGAAUUGAUUUGAUAUUUUACGGAUUUCAUGUGAACUUAGUGUUGUUCUUGGCAGUUCUUGUUGAAGAUAUAUUUAGUUCAGCUUCAACCAUUGGAAUCUUUCAAUCCCAUCUUGACUUAAGGUUGAAUUUUGAAGACUGCAACUUGAUCUUGGGUUGCAGUCAGCCUCCUAUACAUUCAUGUUAAUGCCUAAACUAGUGAAAACUUUAAUCUAAUCUUUUAGUGAAUAAGAUUUUAUAGCCCAAGGCAUAAGUGUAUUUUCAAUAUCCAGUCUUGUUUAUUGGUUAUUUGGUUAUAAUUCAAUUGCACACUAAUUAUUCUAUUAUUUUUUUCAACAUUUUAUUAUGUUUCCUUUGACAGGAAUGCAAUCUUUGAUGAACUUCUCAAGCUCAUGUUACAGCUCAACUUGAUGGUGAUAUUCCUAUUCCUUUGAAGUUCUUUAGAGAACUUAUUUAAGUAGACUUUAAGCCUCUAUUAUGAUGUAUAUUUGUAGUUUUUUGUUGUUACAUUGACUAUAUGCUCUAAUUUCGUGUUAUCCAUACUGAAAUUUGGCUUUCUGAUGUUUCUUGUAGGUAGACUUUUCUGUAUUCUCGCGCUUCUAUGAUUUUGUUUUCUUCGUAUGCCGAGAAAAUGGUCAAAAGAAUAUUAGUAAGUUACUGUGUACUACUUAGUUAAAUGCAAAUGAUUUUAUUGAUUUAUCUUUGGAGUAAAUAGUGAGGAUAUAUAAGCUAAAUUACAAUGAAUUUCUUUGGUCUUGGAUUUGACUAUAUUUUUUUUUGCAUGAUUGAUAGCUGUAAGCAGGGCAGUUGCUGCUUGGAGAUUAGUCUUAGCAGGCAGGUUCCGUUUGCUUAACCAAUGGUGUGACUUUGUUGAGGUAUGAGUAUCGCUGAUACUAAGCUGCUAACCCUUUUUGUUUGUCUUGGAAGCAUCUUGUGAAACUAUUGGUUAUUGUUUCGAUGUCUGAGCUGAGUUUACCUUUUGCAGUAAAUUUCAUUAGAAUUGUGAUAUUGGUUGUUAUUGUGUACUCAAAUUAAAUGAAAUAAACCAUGUAAUUUUGUCGUAGACUUCACUGUAUUGUAUAGGGAGUAACUUCUCUGCUGCUUUAGUUUCAAUUGUUAUUAUUUAAGAAGCGUUCUUAAAAUUUGACUUUCAUUGCCUUAAUCAAGCCUUUGAAAAUCCUUGUACAUGGUUUCAACCUUUUGCAUGUUAUGUAUGGCAAUAUGGAUGGUAGUCAUCCUUUGGGCCGGACAUGUGUUCUGUUACUGCACUAUUAGUUCAAGUUGAAAGUAUAUGUGCUAAUGAAUUACUGUAAGCUUUCGAUUAAGGUAAAGUACUGUUUUUCAUUUCAUUUCAGAAAAAUCAGCGGCACAAUAUUUCUGAGGAUACAUGGCAGCAAGUUUUAGCUUUUAGUCGGUGUGUGCAUGAAACCCUAGAAGGGUAUGAUCCUGAAGGUAUAAAAUUUUUCAAAAUAUGGCUUACGGGCUCCCUCUCAUGUAUUUAUGCCUCGUGGAUCUUACUUGUUUGGUUAUUUUGCAGGUGCUUGGCCCGUUUUAAUCGAUGACUUUGUUGAGCAUAUGUACAGGUUUGCUUUUAUAUCCUCAGCACUUAAUAUGAUCGUAAAAGUUCUAAUAGCUGUUUCAUUAUCACUUUGUCUAUUUUAGGUGACAAUUUAAGAUUCUUAUUGUAAUCUUUUUCAUCUAUUGCCAUUCGUUGUUCUACUUAUUUUGUUUUCAGUUUGUAUAUUACUGAAUAAGAGCAGUAUGAUCACUUGGUCAUAUUUGUUUUUGUAUUGACUUGUAAUCAUACCUUUGUGUUAUUUGUUGGUUUAAGCAUGAUCCCGUGUUUUCUGAAUGCUUCAAGUUGAAUAGUGUUACAUUUUAUGCACACAAUGUCUAGAUGUCUUAAGACUCCCCUCUUCCAAUUGCAGAAUUUCGGGGUCGAAUAAAGAUACAAAUGGUUUCUGUAGCUAUGGUGAUUCAGGGUCCCAGUUGUGUGCAUAUGAUGACUCUUUGCCCGGUACAUCAAAAUAUUAUCUCUGGCUUUAGAUAAGUUGCUAGUUUUAUGGACUAGAAUAGACAAUUAAUGUUAUGAUAACAAUAUCAAAUGGCAGGAUUAAAACUAGUUCCGGGGUUGAAGAGGAAGUUGCGUGAAUGUAACAAUGAUAAAAUGGAGUCCUUGGAACCAUUAUUCUCGAGCUCUCCGAACCCGAAUUGCACAUCAAAUUCCAAGAGAAGGUUUAUUUUGUGCAGAUCUGAUGAGAGGGAAGAUAAUCUUCCCCAGAAUUCAUGCGAUGAAAGCAUGGAAAUUGUUAAACAAAGUAGUCCGGUGGGUUCUUCCAAGUCUCCAUGUGCAGUUGAAGGUUGCAUGUCAAAGGGUUUAGCAGGGCUGUUAUCGUGUUGCUCGUAUUUUGCAGUUUGAUUGGGAAAGAAGAGUUUUGCUAUAGGUAGAAGCUCCCUAUGGAGGGGAAAAGAAUGGAUACAUGCUUUACUACAAGUCUAUGAAUUAGAUAAAUUCGUAUGUUAGCUUGUGGGGGGAGGGUUAUAAACAGAGUGCCAACAUUUUCGGAUGACUGUGGGAGGUUGAUUUCCUUUGUUUCAAUGUUUGAGGGGUGCUAAUAUCAUUGGUUUGUGGAUGUUUCGAUCCUGAAAUUAAUAAUUAAAAUUUUUGAAAAUUUUAGUUAAAUCGACAUCUCCCACUAACCCUAAGCAUUUGUUUAGAUGGUUUGAUAAUGAGAUUACAAAAUUAUUGAAAAUAUACACAUAAACAUGGAACCACCAUGCAUAACAAAAGAAUCAACGAAAUAGAAGAUACAUUCCUACAAUGCCUGUCCCAAAGUAUACCUUAAAUUGGAAUGAAAAUCCUCAUCCGGUUGAGGAGAAAGUAUUAUAGAAACAAUGGACAUCCUCACUCAUUUGAGUGAAAUACUUGUGUCAUUUAUGAUGUUUUUAACAGCAAUCCAUUUGCGAGGAAUAAUAAUAAUUUUCAUUAACUAAAGGUUAAAUUAUACAACACAUUGAAUAUCAUAUGUCUAAAAAUAAAUUAAGGCUAAACUCAACAUAUAAGAGCAACAAAAUUAAUUAAAUCCAGUCAUGAUAGACUAAAUCAAAUAUACCAAAACUCAAAUUCAAGGAUUAAAUCAGUAAUAAUCUAGGGACCUAACUAUAAAUAACUCAUGAUUAAUUUAAAUUAAAUUCAAGUUAUUAAUGCCAAAUCUAUUCUUUUCACUUUAUGAUUUUUUUAUAUAAUUGAAAUUCAAAAGUCUAAAGAAGUACAAGGACUAGAAGCAGAAUCAAAAGGCUUUUUGGGUGUUAUCUUUGCCGCUUAGCAUGAAUUCUCCACAACCAUCGACGACAUGGUUGCCCAUGCUGGCAGUGUGGUUCUUCAAACAUUCUCUAUAUCUGAUAAAAGGAGUUGAGUUUAUAGUCAUUGAUGUUGGACUAACAAUUGUUGGAAUCAGAGCUAAAAUUGGAUCUAGGUCAUGGUCUGGAUCGUUUCUGGGAUUGUCUAAGUUGACGUUAGGGUGAGUUUGAUUCAUUGUAUUGAUCUAGGGUUCUUGGUUGGUUUAUAGGUGCAAAAGAAUAUGAGACCUUUAAGGAAGAAUCAACUCGGUUGAGUUUAUUUUUAUAACUAAAAGAGCUCGACAUCCCAUUUUCACAUCUUGUCCUUUCAAUUCCACUAAAACUCUAAUUUCUAAGGUUAAAAUUUUUUUUGAUCUAAGUAGAGGUGCUCAUGAGCUGAGUCGGGUCAAACAGGAAAUGGGACUAUAUAAUAAGGGGUCCUUACUGAUUUGAAUAAAAAUCAAAGAAGAAGAUGACUUUUGGGUUUUUUGAAUUAUUGAAUUAUUUUUUUCUUUUAUUUUGGUUAAUAAUUAGUAUUGGACAAAUUUUAUUUUAGUCUUUUAAAGUGGUAUGCAACACGUUGUGCCAUGUGGCUUUUAAUGAUUGGUCCAUGUGUCAAAAAAUUGCCUUAUCAGAUUUUUGUUAUUAAAGGGAGGGACUAAAAUGAGCGAACUAUAUAACGUGAAUACUUAAAUUGCAAACUUUUUUAUUUUGACACAAACUUUAAAAUAUUUUUAUAACAUUAGUUUUUUGUUUAAAAUUAUUAAUGAAUUUCCUAAAAACCCAUUAAUAAAUUGAAAAAGUAAUGUAGUCACAAUAUUUUUAAAAAAAAAUUCAACUAAUAUUCUUUAAUCUUAAAAAUAUUUAAUAUUAAAAAAAUAUAAAAAUUUAUGAUGGUUUGAAUUUUAAUAUGAAUUUAUUAUAAUUUAAAUAAUAAUAUUAAUAAUUUUUGUAGGUUAUUUAUUUUAUAUAUAUUCUUAAAUUAAUUUGUUUUAAUAUUAAUGUUAGGAUAAACCUGAUUAAGCAAUGAACAAGUAAAAAAUAGCGGAAGAAAUUGAGAAAUUGAACAAACAAAUUUAACGUGGAAAAUCCCCUCCAAAGAGGAUAAAAAACUACGGAUAAAGAUGAUUUUACUAUAAUGGGAAAAGAAUGAAAAGUACAAAAGAUGAAAAUAAAAACUAAACCCCGAAACUCGAAAACAAAGAACCCUCAAAACAUAAAUACAAAAUUUUCCAAAAGUGUUAUGAGUUCUAAUUUUUAAUGAGUGUAUUUUAUAAGGUUGUAAAAGAGACUAUUUAUAAGCUAAAUUUGCAGGUCAAAUAAUAAUAAAAUAAUGUAGACUAAACAGAGUUUGAUUGAAACAAAUAAAGAUUAUCUUUCAAAUUUGAUUGAAAUAUGAGACAUACUUAACAAAUCUCCACCUUGACUUGUAUUUCCAUAACGCCAUCUUUGCUAAAGCUCGCCAUGGGCCUAUCUUGAACUAUGUAGGGAAUUAACUGAGCUGAAUCUGUACUUAGAAGUUGGAAGACUUUCAGCCUUCAACUUGUGCACUGUUAAAUAAAAACUAACUCGGGUCUGAUUUUCAUGAAAGCACUGCCCUAAUUUUCAAAACCUGCAUCCAAAAGAGAAUCUCUCUUCAAUGAAACGAUCAUACAUUUUCCCUCUUAUAACCAAGUUGCCUCCACUUCAAAUGAGUUGACUUAGACUCCGUAACAAAUGAGGGACAUCCAGUUUCAUCAGUCACUAUAGAACCUUCCAAAAUAUAAAGACUGUAGGUCCUUUUACCUUUUAACAAAAUGAGAGCCCUACGAGACACCUAAAUACCGCUUGACUCGAUGUUGAUUUUGGAACCUUUCGAGUCUAAAAUACUCAAGGAGAUGAGAUUCUUUCGUAAAUCAGGUACAUACCUGACAUCUGAUAGUGUCCUAAUUGUCCCAUCGUGCAUCCUAAUUUUAACAGUACCAAUACCGAUUACCUUACUAGAUGAAUCGUUUCCCAUGCGCACAACUCCACCUUCAACUAAACUGUAUAUGGAGAACCAUUCUUUGUUGGGACACAUGUGGAAAGAAUAUCCCGAAUCUAGGAUCCACUCAUACAUAAGCUUAGAGCUAUCACUUGUUGACACUAACAAGAAAUCAUCAUCACUUUCAUCGGCCAAAUUAGUAUCAGCUAUAACAAUCUGCUUUGAUGUGACCUAACUUCUUACAAUAGCAACAACUUUUGUCUCGCUUCUUUGAUGCUACCAAAAUAGAAGCUUGCUUAUCUGCCUUACUAUCCGAACCAAACUCAUUGUUGAGUUUCUCUUUCUCAACAAAUGACCCUUCACAUCCUUGAACGAGAGUUUGUCUCUGCCAUAAAUCAAUGUCUCCCUAAAAGACUUGUAUGAAGAGGGUAAAGAGCAAAAUAAUAGUAUAGCCUGAUCUUCAUCGUCAAUCUUAACCGCAACCUUCUUUAAAUCAUUCAAGAGAGUAAUAAAUUGACUAAUGUGAUAUAUAAGAAGCUCACAUUCGUUCAUGCAAAACGUAAAUAAACGUUGUUUUAACACUAAACAGUUAGUUAGAGACUUAGUGGCAUAAAGAGUUUCUAACCUUUUCCAUAAGGCAGUUGAUGUUUUCUUCAUUAAUACCUUCUGCAAAACCCUAUUCGCAAGGCAUAACUGGAUUGCAGAUAGGGCCUUUUCAUCAAGCUCUUCCCAUUUUGUCUGAUUUAGAUUCUCAGGCUUUUCCCCGGUAACAACCUUUUUCAAGUCAGUCUAAGCUAGAAUUGCCAUCAUUCGAAUUUGUCACAGAUUGAAAUUUGUGACACCAUCAAACUUCUCAAUGUCAAAUCUUGUUACUACCAUAUUUGAACGGACUAAUUUAUGAAAAUUGAACUAGCUCUUAUACCACUUGUUGGGGAUCGACCCAAUUAAGCAAUGAACAAGUAAAAAAUAGUGAAAGAAAUUGAGAAAUUGAACACACAAAUUUAACAUGGAAAAACCCCUCCAAAGAGGAUAAAAAACUACGGGUAAAUAUAAUUUUACUAUAAUGGUAAAAUAACAAAGAGUACAAAAGAUGAAGAUAAAAACUAAGUCCUGAAACCCGAAAAUAAAGAAUCCACGUAAACACAAAAUUCUCCAAAAGUGUUAUGAGUUCUAAUUUUUAAUGGGUUUAUUUCUUAAGGUUAUAAAAGAGUCUAUUUAUAGGCCAAAUAAUAAUAAAAUAAUUUAAAUUAAUCAGAGUUCGACUGAAACAAAUAAAUAGAGUUUAACUGAAAGAUUAUCUCUCAAAUUUGAUUGAAUUAUGAGGCAUACUUAACAGUUAAAAUUAUUAAUAUUCGAUUUUAUUUAUAAUUUUAUAUUUAUCUUUUCUUUACUUUACUCAAUAAAUAUAAUUAAUUAUUAUUAUAUUUGAAAAAUAUAAAUUUAAUUUGAUAAAUGUUAUUAAUAUGUGUUUUUUUUUAGAACUAUAUUUUAAGCUUAAUAACUUAAAAUUUAGUAUUUUUAAUAUUAUAACAUAAAAGGUUAAUUCCAUGAAGUAAAUUUUGAAACAAAAAGAUAAUUUAUUUGAAAUCAACUUUAUAUUCAACAUAUAAGAAAUAAAUUUAAAUAAAAUGCAUGAAAUAACUUAAAAAAUUGAAAAGGAAGGAGUAAAAAUAGUAAUUUACCCAUACUAUAAAUAAGUGCUUCAAUUCGAGAGUAUCAUACUCUUUUUGACGAGAACUUUGUAAUAAAAAAGAAGAGGAAGCUGCACAACAAGAUAUGAAAGGCAAACCAAAUAAAUUAAUGAAGUCAAACAAGAAGAAGAUUAUUUUAAAAUAAAAUGAAGAAAAAACUCAGGCUAACAAUAUUACUAAAAGAAACAUAAUGACCUUGUUUGGUGGUGGUUGAGGAGGCAGUCUUACGCUGCAGAAAGAAAUGGUAGCACUAAAUUAUAUGUAACUUUCUAAUUACUCUCUUCUUGCUCUAUAUAGAAGUUUGGACUUGUAAUUUUAGCUAUUAUUUAAGGUUUCAAAUCUAUUGGUCACCAACAUUCAUAGAUCCUGCUUGUAUAUUAACCUUGUAGUUAGAUGCAUUGAAAUAGAUGUGAGUUCUGUGUUUCCCAAAUUUAAACGGUAUUAAAAGAGAAUAUUGUUGAUGCAAGUGUAUGUCAGGUAUAGGAUGACAUGGGGGAGAUGUCCUACAACCCGAUCAUUACAAUGUUAUUUUACAGUUUCACCUGUCUCCAUCCCCUCAGUAAAUCUCUUACAUCACAAUUGAAAUCCCUGAUCUACAACAAUAAUUCUCAUACAUGUUGAUGGAUUUGCAGUUCAAAUCUUCCUUCCGGGAAGAAACUGGUGAGCAUAGACCACCUUUUGCUUUGGAGCAUCUCUUUGUUGAAAACAAUGGAGAUGGGCAACCAACAGUUGGAAUUCUGGAUAAUGUGAAGAAAAUUAUGGUACAUCACUUCUUUGGCUAUGAAAGUGAGACUGAAUUUAACAAGCAUCUGUUGCAGAAGGCAGAUGUUCUUGAGACUCUAUCCUUAACCUACCAUAGGCUUGAACUCAACCCUGAAUCCUUUGGUCGUAGAUAUACUAUUGCUGUUGAAAAGUGGUUAGCAUGCAGCAUUGAAGACCACCAUGCAGAAGCAGCAGUUUGCACGAAAAAGCAAGGAUGUUUAGCUUCAUUUGAAUUUUUUGUUUAUGUAAUGUAAUCUAGUUCAUUUUGAACCAUGAUAAGAUGAUAUUUGAUGUAAUCUUGAUGGUGAUUGAGCUGUUUACCAGCUUUAUUCAUUUGCACAAGUUAUUAUUCCAAUUUACUAGGAAACUUAGUGGUAGUAGGUAUGGUUUUGGUUAACCUACUGUCUUGACAAGCUAGAAGCUUGAUUUAUGUAUUGGCAUCAAGCCAUUUUUUUAAUGAAUGAAUUGAAUCAAGUUUUCAUUCAAAAACUCUCUCCAUUCUUCUUGCUUUACUUUUUAAAAAUUCUGUUUAGCUUUCUGCUUGUUUCUACUGCAAGUCACGACACUUGCUGCUCAAGCAAUACACUGAAACUUCUUGUUAGUUGCUCCCAGCUCCAACAAUUGCCCUCCUAAAGAGUUGGUUCAAGAAGAGAUUUUUAGCUUGUCUACAGCUUCCUCUAAUGUUCAUAUAUCGUUUCAUCAUACUUAUCACAAGUUAGGAUUCUAGAAGCAUCAAUUGAAUAAAUAAUUUCCAUUGAUUUGAUUGUAAAUUGUUGAUGUCUGCAACUGCAAGCUAUUUUUUUAUUAGAAAGUAUCAGCUAAACUUCUUCCCAGUUUUCAGGUUUAUUAGUUUCUCAGUUUCUAAUCACAUUUACACCCAAAAAAAGAAAGCAAAAUCAACUAUAUAUAAAAUAAUAUGUAAUAUUAAAUGAUUUAAAAAAAAUAGAACAAAGAAACUGAUUCAGCAAAAACUGUUCUCCAUGAAUUUUACAAAUUCCUGAAAAUCUAUUCUGCCAUCACCAUCUUCAUCAAAGGUAUUGAUCAUGUUGUUGCAGUUUUCCAGCUUUAAACCUUGUUUCAACCCCAAAACACACAGAAUUCUCUGCAAUUCCUCUGCAUCAAUAAACCCAUCUUUAUUCACAUCAAAAACAUCAAAAGCUUGCUUCACUUCUUCCAAGCUUGGCUCUUGUUCAAACAACCUUGAAAUCUCCUCACAACUGUAUGAUUCGUUCAACUGUUCUUCACUUUCUUGGCUGCAAAAAAUCCCCAGGUUCCCCAUCAAAAUCUCCACUUCUUUUCUGCAUAAUCUCUCACCACCAGAUAAAACUUCCUUGCUUCAAAACCCAGGUUUCUGGUUCUUCAGGUCCCAAUCUGAAGUCUGGGAUUGUGGGGAAAACGACCAAUAUCUUGAGACAUAACUUUUAACGGUGUUAUAACAUGAAAAACCAUUGAACAACAGUAUCAUAUUGGAGUUUGAGUUUGCAGAUGAUGUUUCCAUUGAAACAAGUAGAUUGGCUGUGUAAUUGGUAAAAGAAUAUGGGUUUAUAUUUCUACGUUGAAAGAAUGAUAUUGAAGAGAAAAGAAAUGAAAUGAAAUUGAUUGAAUUGUGAGGUCUUGGGUGGGGUAUUUUAAAGGCAUGGAAAACCCUGCUAAGUUUUCAGAGGCGGCUUGGUUUGAAAAGGGAAAUUGCCUGUACGGUUCAGCCCCAUGACGGUUGCCCAUCACCAUGAGACAAAUUAAGAAAAGAAUGGGUCUUUUUUCUUUUCAGAUGCCAAGAAUAAUUCAAGCAUGAAAGUGUAAAUCAAUGGGGGUGGUAAAAGAGAGGAAAUAUCGAAUAACCUGCAUAAUGGGAGUAGCUAGAAAUAUUUGGUCAACUUGGACCUUCGCUUGGUUGGCCUACCUUUGUUUUGUCUUUAUGUGCUUCCAGUUCCCUGCUCUGUUUCUUAGAACCUGCUGGCUUCUGUCUCCUUUAACUGCAAUUUCUGAAUUUGACUUUUUGUUGUUGGGACAAUGAAGUUUCUUGGAUGUUCAUAGGCGGCUCCUUGAAGUUUCUUGGAUCCUUGUUUUUCUCUACAUGACUUUUUAAAAAUGACAAAUUUCUUAAUUCGAUCCUUUAAAUUUGGAUUCUAUGUCGUGCACAUAAUUUGUGAUUGGCUCAACUAUUUACUUCAAAAACUGAAAUAAAAAAUUUGUCAAUUUUUUCUCCUUUACGUUUUCCAUGGUUAAUUCUGUGGAGACAAUUAAGUUAAGGGUCAAUGUCGUGGUGAUUUUUGAACGUAGAAGAAGGUGUUGAGUAAGAAAUACAUCUUAACUGUGCUUAAGGUUUGUUUUCAACCUUUCGUUCAUAAAAAGUAAUAAGGUCCAAUAAAAAGAGAUUUCAAAAUCCCAUCCAUGUCUUAAAAAGGUAUAAUCAAAAUAAGACCAAUGAAAAAGAAAAACACACAUACACUACAAUAAAACAUAAAAAUAACAAAAUUUAUAUAAAGCAUGAAUUCAGACAUGAUCUCAACCUUUUUAGUUGGUAGGCUGAAUGAUCAUAGACGUUAGAGAUUAUAUUUAAAGCUAUGACUUGAACCGAUCACAACCACCACAACUUCUUUAUGCAUUGGUAAUGAUAUGCCUUUGUAAAGAUAUUACACAACAAAAUCUGAAAGAAAGACUAAACAACACAAUAAUAAGUACCAAAACCAAAUAACAAUAUUUUCCUUUAACAAGAUAAAAUUAGAUCACUAUGAAAAAUAACUCCAAAUCAUAUUUAUUUUAAAUAAUAUAUUAUAAAAUAAAAUAUUUAUGAAGUACUAAAAUUUUAUUUUAAUAAAAAUAAUAAGAAGCCAAGAAAAAAGUUUUCAUUUUAAAUUUUUAAUAAAAAAUAUAUUUUUAUCAAAAUAUAGUUAUAAAAAACUAUAUCUUAAUAAAAAUAAAUAAAGGAAAAAGAGAUGUAACAAAGCCCAAAUAAUGACCCACAAAAUCAUCAACACAUGAUUGAAAACACAUGAUUAGCUACUUUACUUUUUACAAUUUUUUGACUUGUUAAAUUCGGAUAUUUUGGCAGAUUCAGAUCUUUAGUCUGUUUGUUAAUGCAUAUUCAGACCGAGUCACAUAGAUGUAGUUAGUUUUGCCUAAGUUUUUGAGGGACUUGAUUCAUAUGUUCCCUUGCUCAAUUUACAGCUGAAGAUGCAUAUGUAUUUCUGGUUAACUGGUUUGAAAGGUUUCCACAAUACAAGUAUAGAGAUUUCUAUAUGUGGAUAAUGGAAAUUGAGUAUUAUUAUAAAUAAAUCAUUGUAAUAUAUGUAAAAAUAAUUUCAAAUAUAAAAAUUUAUUAAUAUAUAUUAAUAUAGGUAAAAACAACUUUUUCGAAAAAUAUUUUCUGGAAAUCUGCCAAACAGCAGAAAAUAUUUUACACAGAUUCAUCUAAAUACCAGAAAAUAUUUUUCAGUAAAUUAUUUUACAGAAAAGUAAAACAUUUUUCAGAAAUCAUUUUACGAAAAAUAUUUUACUGGCAAACAAACGGACCCUAAAAAGAAGAAGAAGAAGCAGCAAAAUUGAAGCCCAUGCUAAUAAUCACAAGCCCAGAAAAAAGUUUCCAUUUUUAAUUUUUUUCUUUAAACGUGUAAAAAACGAAGAAAUUUUUGUGAUAAAGACACUUCCUUUGUCCCCUUUCUCUUCCCGUAGCCGGCGUCUCUUAAUUUAAUUCAGUUCCACUUCUUCUCUUGCUCUUUAAUAAUUCAAUCUCAAAUCUAAAUUUAGGAUUGAAAAUUUCCCAACUUUUUGGUGUUUUUUUAAAAGGGAUUUAAUCAUUUGGAUACUAAUUGAAGCACCUGAUCUUGUUGAGCUGGAAAUAAUAAAGUUAUUUCCCUUUGUUUUUUGAGUUUUAAUGAGGUGGGUUUGGUCUGGAUUUGGAGUUUAGGGCUGAAGGAAAAAAUUGAUUUAUUGGGUUCUCUUUGAAGUUAAAUUUCAGGGUUUGAUUUGAAAUGGUAUAUUUCCAUAGAUCAAUCUCCGCCUGCAACUCGGCUGACCAGGCUUCUCCAAUGGCAAAUUCUGGGAAUUCAAGUGAUCUCAUGAUGAACCCCAAAUCAGCGUCAUCAAAGGGCAAUUUUUGUAAGAAACAAAAGGUAUUCAAUCCGCCACAAAAGGUAUUCAAUCCCCCAAGUUGUUUAAAAAUCCCCUCUUGUGAAAGAUCAAGAUCUGCUGCCGUUGAUGUUGUAAUCUUAAUUGCUGUGAUUGCUGCUUUUGGAAUCUUAUUGUUUCCAACUAUAAAAUGCAUAUCUUUGAAAGUGAUUGAAUUCAUCGAAGCCGCCUAUGAUUUGGUUAGAGAUGAAAUGAUGAUAUCUCCAAUGAUAUAUGGAUCCAUAGGACUUGGUUUUUCUUGUUCUGCAAUAGCUGCUUGGAUUUUGCUUCUUUGUACAACUAGGAAAUGUGGGAACCCUCACUGUAAAGGGCUCAAUAAGGCCACCGAAUUCGAUAUUCAGUUGGAAACCGAGGAGUGUGUUAAGAACUUGUGCCCUACGGUUAAAGAUGGUGUUUCCAAAGGACUUCUCCAAUUGCUGCACAAUCGUCACAAGGAAUUGGAAGCUGAGUUAAAGAGGCUGGCACCGGUUAAUGGAAGAGCAGUGCUUGUGUUUCGAGCUAAAUGUGGAUGUUCCGUUGGCAGAUUGGAGGUUCCGGGACUGAAGAAGCAAAGAAAGAUCAAGAAAUAGGGUUUAAGGAUACAAUUAGAUAGAUGAAUUUUAAAGCUAAUACAGAAACUAGCUCAUAAUGCUGAGAGGAGUUUGAGUGCCUUUUCAAGUUAUGUUGUCUUUAAAUAAGCUUCUCAUAGCAAUAAGUUGUAAGGAUUAUAUACAGUCGGGCUAUUAGCGGAGAAUAUAAUAACCCUUUCGUUUAUUUCAUUGCUAGUUUAUGGAAAUUUAUGUUUUAAAGCUUAUGUGUUUGUGUUCUUAGUUUUGCAAUUGAUUUUUGUGUAGCUAUAAAUCAUUGAAAUUUGAGACCUUUUAGGCAUUAGAUAUUCAUGCUUUUGUUGAGCUGUUUGAUUCAUGGUGUGUUAUGAGAACUAUUUGAUCGUGAUGCGGCUUGUACAAGGAGUCCGAUAAGUAGUUCUAAGUCAAGCUUCCUCAGAUCUUAUCCUCGAUGGAUGGGACUUCUGCUCCUCCAAGCCAUAUAGGUGUUACUUCCACCUCUUACUCUGAUUUGAUGUUUUAACCCUUAGGCAGGCAAUGAGCAUUAUCUAAGUCCUUACUCUGAGUUUGAUCUAUGGGUCAUCUCACAAAGACAGGUUCGUGGAACAAGAGCAAGGUCUGGGAUUAGCUCUCUCACUCGGGCAUACUUUAGGGCUUAACUACAAGGUCUUUUGAAUCUUUAAUCUGUUUUACAAGUAAUAUUUCCUACAUUUUCAGCUUCAUAGUAGUGUACUGCAGAUUACAUCAACUUGGUGUAGUGAGAAUUAUUGCUCGUACAGUUCCUGAACCAGAUGAUUUCGAGAAG